CCUACGGGAGGCAGCAGUGAGGAAUAUUGGUCAAUGGACGCAAGUCUGAACCAGCCAUGCCGCGUGCAGGAAGACGGCUCUAUGAGUUGUAAACUGCUUUUGUACGAGGGUAAACGCAGAUACGCGUAUCUGUCUGAAAGUAUCGUACGAAUAAGGAUCGGCUAACUCCGUGCCAGCAGCCGCGGUAAUACGGAGGAUUCAAGCGUUAUCCGGAUUUAUUGGGUUUAAAGGGUGCGUAGGCGGUCGGAGAAGUUAGGGGUGAAAUCCCGAGGCUCAACUUCGGAAUUGCCUCUGAUACUGUGCGGCUAGAGAGUAGUUGCGGUAGGCGGAAUGUAUGGUGUAGCGGUGAAAUGCUUAGAGAUCAUACAGAACACCGAUUGCGAAGGCAGCUUACCAAGCUACGUCUGACGUUGAGGCACGAAAGCGUGGGGAGCAAACAGGAUUAGAUACCCCAGUAGUC
rnacentral:rRNA from 1 species